rnacentral:rRNA from 1 species
UGCUCUUUCACGUGGACAUAUCGCAGCAUGCGACAUGUCAGUGGAACACUGUCUAAAUUAAUAAAUACUGUUUUGGCCGAUUUCUAAAAGCGUCUAUAAAAGGGCAUAAGUGCAAUGACUCGUCUUUGUAACCCUGCGGCCUAGGCGUAGUUUUUCACGGGGAAUCCGAAUAUCAAAGGUAGAUUUAUGUACAACAUGUACUUUUUUUGCAACAUGUACUUUUUAUCUACGGGACAUAGACAUACGUAAAAACACACGGCGGAGCCGUUCCCGCAAUCAGAAUUUGUCUAACUCUUCUAGAUCAAAAGUUAUUCAGCGAAAUGUGAGACUUUGUUUGGCAUGCUCUUUUUUUAGGUGGUUUUUUCCGGUUUUAUGUGCCGCCCGGCAGAUCUGGCCUGCAGACUUUAGCAGAAAACUUGGCGCAUGUGUUCGCACGACCGCUCCCAAAGUUUUACAAGCAUAUCUCCAGUAGUUGCUUCGCAAUGAUUUUUUUAGUGACGCCAAAAAACGCCAUUUUCGCGGAAAAUGGACACCUUGGACGGCCAAAAUCACCACUUUUGGCCAUGUUUGGUCCUGCACAUCAGGAGCAAUGAGACUGCUCCCGUAUAAAAACUGCCCUAGGGGUGCUUUUAUGCGCGCAUUCCCGUGGUCAAGUCAGAUUUUGGUUAAAUUCAAAUGCCUUGUCUAUAAACACUUUUUUCGACCUAAAUUUUCACCUGUUUUUGUCCCGAAAUGAUAGCACCCAUUCUUUAUUUGCCUAUAUAUCGCGAAGGAGGCAACUUUUUUCCUGUUAAGUAUAGAUAAAAAAUUUAAUUCGGCGUUUUAGCGCACGAGGAACAAAAGUCUCCAUACAAGCUACCCUCGGUUUCUAAUGACUUUUUGAGUUAGGGAAGCGUGGAUCUUCUUUUUUUCUUGUUUCCAGGACUUCACAUGAACUUCCAACUCAACUCGAAUUGUCAUCCCGGGCCCACCACGCAUCGAAACGACACUUUUCUCGGAACUGGCGAAUAAAAAAUAGGUCACCAGAUGCGCAAGAGUCUGGGAUGACAGAAUAUCAAAACAAUAACAGAAUCGUUAGUACUUUUUUUGUCACCAGCGCCCUUUUUCUGUUUUCGCGUACAUAAUCGAGCAUAACUUUAUCAAUUUAUACCAUAUCGACCGAUAUCGAUUGUCACGAUAGUGUACUUUUUUUAGGCGCACAUGAUGGUAAAAAGAACGGCCACCUAUUCCCAGCCGUUCUUAAGUUAUGCUCUUUUAAAGAUUUUACUUUAGAGAUGACACACCCUCUCAUUUCACUCCAUUACAUGCUCUUUUU